rnacentral:rRNA from 1 species
UACGUAGGGUGCAAGCGUUGUCCGGAAUUAUUGGGCGUAAAGAGCUCGUAGGCGGUCUGUCGCGUCGGCUGUGAAAACCCGGGGCUCAACCCCGGGCCUGCAGUCGAUACGGGCAGACUAGAGUGUGGUAGGGGAGACUGGAAUCCUGGUGUAGCGGUGAAAUGCGCAGAUAUCAGGAGGAACACCGGUGGCGAAGGCGGGUCUCUGGGCCAUAACUGACGCUGAGGAGCGAAAGCGUGGGGAGCGAACAGG